CUCUGCAGUCCCCCGGCGGGUGCCUCGGUCGCACUGCCCCCGGGACAGACCGUGAUCACGUGCUGAAGAAGCUGGCCAGCAGGGGGCGUCCGAGAACAUCACGGAGUCCCUCGAAAACUACCCACAUGGAAGGAAUUGGCGGAGCCUGAGAAAGACAAAGGCUUCUGGCCACAGACCGCAUCACGCCGCCUCCGUGGAGGGUGAGGAGGCGGCAGAGAGGAGAGGCCGGGCCUCCGUGAGGGCUUUGGACGCUUAUCCGUUCCCCGGGGAGGACUGGAAAUAUUGACAAAUCCUUUGGCUCCACGUUUCCCUCCGUGAGGCGCAUGGGGUGCCCCCUCCUGUAACCCCUUUACCGCAGAGCGCCCCUCUUCGGAAUUCGGAGCAAGAAACGGAACAUCCCAGAAAACGACAGUCACGUAUUGGAGCGAGUUCUCCAGGCGCGCAGCCUGUGGGUUGGAUCCUCCGGUGCGUCCGGAGGUGCCCACGAGCCUCGGCGGACUCCGAACACAAGCAUUUCUCCGUCUCCCGACGCCAGCACGUCCGGCUGCAGACCUUCCACGCCUCCUGGGGUGGACACCGCGGCCAGCUGACCCGACAGCUGCUGCCAGACUGCACGAGGGGAUGCCACGUGUAACCUUGAGCCACCCGGAAGGUGUCACCAACUGGACAGAAGCGGGCCAGACAGCCCUGUCGCAGCCUCUGGGAGGCACUGCUGUGGGGAGGCAGCAGGUGGAGACGCCGCCAGCCACCCCCCCGCCCCGCCCACGUGCCGGCGCCCCUCCCACCACGAUGGCUUUACAGCACACACCUGGGUUUUCCUGAAACUGGGGACGUGGUUCUGGGGGCUUUUUGUCACUAGCGAACCCUGGGACUCCGGCUGAAGCCUCUAGGCAUCCUUUCUGUAGGACCGAAGCUGUCUGAGCAAAAUACAGCAAAAGAAACAAAA